AGAGUUUGAUCCUGGCUCAGAUUGAACGCUGGCGGCAGGCCUAACACAUGCAAGUCGAACGGUAACAGAAAGCAGCUUGCUGCUUUGCUGACGAGUGGCGGACGGGUGAGUAAUGUCUGGGAAACUGCCUGAUGGAGGGGGAUAACUACUGGAAACGGUAGCUAAUACCGCAUAACGUCGCAAGACCAAAGAGGGGGACCUUCGGGCCUCUUGCCAUCGGAUGUGCCCAGAUGGGAUUAGCUAGUAGGUGGGGUAAAGGCUCACCUAGGCGACGAUCCCUAGCUGGUCUGAGAGGAUGACCAGCCACACUGGAACUGAGACACGGUCCAGACUCCUACGGGAGGCAGCAGUGGGGAAUAUUGCACAAUGGGCGCAAGCCUGAUGCAGCCAUGCCGCGUGUAUGAAGAAGGCCUUCGGGUUGUAAAGUACUUUCAGCGGGGAGGAAGGGAGUAAAGUUAAUACCUUUGCUCAUUGACGUUACCCGCAGAAGAAGCACCGGCUAACUCCGUGCCAGCAGCCGCGGUAAUACGGAGGGUGCAAGCGUUAAUCGGAAUUACUGGGCGUAAAGCGCACGCAGGCGGUUUGUUAAGUCAGAUGUGAAAUCCCCGGGCUCAACCUGGGAACUGCAUCUGAUACUGGCAAGCUUGAGUCUCGUAGAGGGGGGUAGAAUUCCAGGUGUAGCGGUGAAAUGCGUAGAGAUCUGGAGGAAUACCGGUGGCGAAGGCGGCCCCCUGGACGAAGACUGACGCUCAGGUGCGAAAGCGUGGGUGAUCAAACAGGAUUAUAUACCCUGGUAGUCC
rnacentral:rRNA from 1 species